GCGGAGGAAAAGAAACCAACAGGGAUUGCCUUAGUAGCGGCGAGUGAAGCGGCAAAAGCUCAAAUUUGAAAUCUGGCACUUUCAGUGUCCGAGUUGUAAUUUGAAGAAGGUAUCUUUGGGUCUGGCUCUUGUCUAUGUUUCUUGGAACAGAACGUCACAGAGGGUGAGAAUCCCGUGCGAUGAGAUGACCCAGACCUAUGUAAAGUUCCUUCGAAGAGUCGAGUUGUUUGGGAAUGCAGCUCUAAGUGGGUGGUAAAUUCCAUCUAAAGCUAAAUAUUGGCGAGAGACCGAUAGCGAACAAGUACAGUGAUGGAAAGAUGAAAAGAACUUUGAAAAGAGAGUGAAAAAGUACGUGAAAUUGUUGAAAGGGAAGGGCUUGAGAUCAGACUUGGUAUUUUGUAUGUUACUCUCUCGGGGGUGGCCUCUACAGUUUACCGGGCCAGCAUCAGUUUGGGCGGUAGGACAAUUGCAAAGAAAUGUGGCACUGCCUCGGUAGUGUGUUAUAGUCUUUGUCGAUACUGCCAGCCUAGACUGAGGACUGCGGCUUCGGCCUAGGAUGUUGGCAUAAUGAUCUUAAGUCGCCCGUCUUGA
rnacentral:rRNA from 1 species